rnacentral:rRNA from 1 species
UACGUAGGGUGCAAGCGUUGUCCGGAAUUAUUGGGCGUAAAGAGCUCGUAGGCGGUUUGUCGCGUCGAAUGUGAAAACCCGGGGCUCAACCCCGGGCCUGCAUUCGAUACGGGCAGACUAGAGUUCGGUAGGGGAGUCUGGAAUUCCUGGUGUAGCGGUGAAAUGCGCAGAUAUCAGGAGGAACACCGGUGGCGAAGGCGGGACUCUGGGCCGAUACUGACGCUGAGACACGAAGGCCAGGGAGCAAACGGG